rnacentral:rRNA from 1 species
UACGAAGGGGGCUAGCGUUGCUCGGAAUCACUGGGCUUAAAGCGUGUGUAGGCGGAUCGGUAAGUACCUUGUGAAAUCCCACAGCUUAACUGUGGAACUGCUUGGUAUACUGCCAGUCUUGAGCCAGCUAGGGGCUACCGGAACAAAUGGUGGAGCGGUGAAAUGCGUAGAUAUCAUUUGGAACGCCAAUGGUGAAAACAGGUAGCUGGGGCUGUGCUGACGCUGAGACACGAAAGCCAGGGGAGCAAACGGG